UUCCCAGUUAGAUUCUCCAUGGCUAAAAAUUUGAAUUAGUCUCAUUUUGAUAGUCUUUCAAAAAUGUUUAUGGUCAGUUAAGCAUAACAUCUAUCUUGACAUUAAAAUUGAUUUCUUCUACCUUAGUGAGAAAGUGUAUCCAUUUACUAUGAGGUUCUGCAGUCCACACAGAUUAAUAGAAGCAGCUGGCAAAGAAGCUAGACCAUGGAGCAGGGAAAGUACUCUCCAGAAUGCUCAUGACCAGCAAGGGUGGCCUUAGAAGGUUUCUUCUUCAUUUGUUGCUGCUGCUUCCUCCUCCUCAUCUUCUGGGUCAUCAGUGUCUCCUGACUCAUCGCUAUCUUCCACCCAUUUUCCUGGCAUGAGUCCAGCUGAGUCAUAGGAAUUGCACAGAGGACCCACAAUGUGAGAGAUGAAGGAUUCCUGAAGAUUGGCCAAUUGAGGAGCUGACCGAUCCAUGAAGGGGCUUAUGGGCAGCCCAAGGCUGGCUUCCUCAUCACCCUAGAAACAGGGAUUUAGCAUGAAUAGCUAGCUAGAAAGGUGAAAGAGAAGAGUCUAAGAUACCAAAAAGUGAACAUUCCCUUGUCAUCUAAAAUGUAUAGAUAUGUAAGAGCAUGGCUAUUCAUGCUCAACUGACUUUACUUGAUGGCUCAGAGAUUCUACCCAAAUCUCUAAGAUUCAGAGAGCAAUUCUUUGUUGUUUCCAUUAACUAAUUUUGUGAUGUUGAGCUUUAUCAUGGAGAAAUGCAAGGAGUGGCUUAAUAUCUCAGUAGAUAAUAUUUCUUAUCACACUAGUCAGGGUCCUUUAUAGGAGAAUACAAAUGCAUCUUAAAAUGCAAUGCUGGGAAUGUUACUCUAACAAAUAUAAUCUACCAUGUUUUUUCUUUUUGCCUUGGUUACCAGAAAGCUUAAAAUAAUUUAUUGCUAAAUUCAAGUUGCUACUUUACCCUAGAUUUUGUUUGAAUGAUAUCUUCUGUGAUUAUGUUUUCUUAUUUUGUUUAAUAGUAUUAAAGUAUAUGUGUUUUGUUUUGAACAACUUUAGAUCUUCUUGGAAAACAAUAACAGAUCAUAAACCACAGGUUACCUAGAAAACCUAAGGAAGAAAAUAUAUCAAAAUAUCAAUAAAGAUUAUGCCUAAAUAA